GAAGAGGAAGAGACACUGACUGGUCAUGUACGAACCAUUGUGUUUUAUAUAAUAUCUUAUAUUUGUAACAUUGAAAUUCAUCUUUAUAUGUGAUUUUAAAAGGGAAAAUAUACAAUGUUCUCAACUCUUUAAAGGGAUGCUCUACGUGAUGUGAUUCAGAGUGGUGCUGUCACCAGCUAUUUCUUCAGCCUCUCUUCUACUAGUGGGAUGUACCACAUGCUGGAUGGUGAGGAGUUGGGAGAGAACACUACUACAGGAUUGCCCUGUUUGGAGCUGCAAAGCUCCACAGUGGAGAUUGGAGUAUCUGUCUAUAGGACCACUUUAAGCUGUACACUCCACAAAGCUGGGUGUCCAGAAAAAAAGCCAUUGCUUAAAGAAGAAAAU